rnacentral:lncRNA from 1 species
GGUGAGGAGAGCUGUUGGUACUUAUGUGUUUUCUUUUCGUAUGCACGUAUAUAUAAAUACAUUGUUUUUGCUCCCAAAAAUAUACAUGUAGAAUAUAAUUGAGAAAAAGACAAAAAUAGCACUAAAUCAAGUUUAGGUUCCCAAACUAGCACUCAAGGUCAAAAAUCACAAAAAUAGCACUUAAUGUGUUAUCAAAAGUCACAAACUUAGGGUUUAGAGUUAAAGGGUGGGGUUUAGGAUUUAGGGUUUAGGGUUUAGAGUUUAGGGUUUAGGGUUUAGAUUUUAGGGUUUAGGGUUUAGAGUUUAGGGUUUAAGGUUUAGAUUUUAGGGUUUAGGGUUUAGAGUUGAGAAAUGAGGUUUUGGGGAUAAGAUUUCAAAUUUUGAAAAAUAAAAAAAUUAAAAUUUUCAAAGAAUA